rnacentral:tRNA from 1 species
GUUAAUAUAGUCUAACCAAGACAUUAGAUUGUGAUUCUAAUAAUAGAAGUUAAACCCUUCUUAUUGACC